ensembl:lncRNA
GUGGUCCCUCCAAGCUGAGAGAGAUCUACGGCCGAGGACCUCAUUUAGCAUCCGGACCGCGGCGCCGCCAAGAAACAGGCUGUGCAGCUGCUUGGAGCGCAAUUUCUUCAACCAGAUAACCAGUCCAGGUCCCGAAGGCACCUGAUGGACCCCCCCGCCCUCCCACCCGGCCCCCACAGCGCAUCUCAAUUCGACCGACCCUUCACAGCUCUGCCCGAACCGCCCAUCACCAACUCCAGACAGCGCCUGCUGCGCCGUGACUCAGCUUCCUCCGGCAUCCAGGAAGGAGUGUUGGGCAGAGAUCACCC